rnacentral:rRNA from 1 species
GUAGGUGGCAAGCGUUGUCCGGAAUUAUUGGGCGUAAAGCGCGCGCAGGCGGUCCUUUAAGUCUGAUGUGAAAGCCCACGGCACAACCGUGGAGGGUCAUUGGAAACUGAGGGACUUGAGUACAGAAGAGGAAAGCGGAAUUCCACGUGUAGCGGUGAAAUGCGUAGAGAUGUGGAGGAACACCAGUGGCGAAGGCGGCUUUCUGGUCUGUAACUGACGCUGAGGCGCGAAAGCGUGGGGAGCAAACAGGAUUAGAUACCCUGGUAGUCCACGCCGUAAACGAUGAGUGCUAAGUGUUAGGGGGGUUUCCGCCCCCCUUAGUGCUGCAGCUAACGCAUUAAGCACUCCGCCUGGGAGUACGACCGCAAGGUUG